CAGAGUUCAACUGCCUGAAAUGCGACUUCGAAUUGGUCACAAGGUAUGGCUUCACAUUUUGGAUAAGCUUUGCCGGCGGCAGCUUCGCUGUAAGCUCCGGGUACGCCUUGAUAGGCGACGCGGAGCUGAGCGCCGUGCAUCGGAGCUGGUGAGAAAUCACUUAUCGUCAACGGCUUUGGUUGAUUGUCAAUUUGAACUAGAUUUAAAUCAAUCGCCGCCGCUGGAUGGCCGUUUACGGCGGUGAUGUGGCCGGCCCUGCCGCUGUUUUUCUGCUCCGAUACGACUUUAUGGCCGUUCACGGCGGUGAUGUUACCCUCAUCGCCGCCGUUUUGCUGAUCCGAUACGACUUUACUAGCUAAAAUAGCACACGAACUCUGCCAGUCGGCGCGUGAACCACCGAUAUGUCCGGCGUAGUUUGUUUUUACGGCGGCGGAGUCAAACCGGUAAACGCAUCGGAUAAUGAGUCGGGUCGGGUUGACCCGAUUCGACUGUAUCUUUGACCGGAUUAACGUUUUGAGAUUUAUUCCGGACGACGAUGGAGUAAGCGAUUGCAUUUUUUCGGGGGUACAAAUUGCAAUUACUCAAAUAUUAGGGAGUGAAAAUGAGAAUGAUAUAAAAAUUGUUUAAAGCUUGUAGUUCUAAGGGAACAUCCAAGCUGAGAAAUGUAAGAAAUGAAAGGGGUAUAUAUAUAUUAGGGGAGUGCGUGGGUGUAGGUGGUUUGGUCAAAUCCCACAUCACACACACCUACCACUUUUUUUUAUUCAAAUUUUUUUUUUUCUCUAUAAAAUCGAAAAUAAGAUUAUAUAUAUAUAUACCAUUUUGUUCGGACUUUAUUUGUUAGAUUACACUAACUUGACUAUACUAUUAUCUUGUUUUAAGUCUUAAUAUAUAAGCAACUUUUUAAAUUUAUCGAAGUGCUCCAUUUAAACGUUUGACUUUACUUAUUAAGGAUUACACCGACUUGACUGUGUUAUUGUCUUGUUUUAAGUCUUAAUACAUAAGCAACUUCUUAAAUUUAUCGAGGUACUUUAUUUGGAAGUUUUAAUUAAGCCUUAUAUGGAUUGAGUAUCUUAACUUCACAUAAAGUGUUUUAAUUUUUUUUUUUUUAAAUUUAAAUAUAUUUUUAUUCGUCUGUCAGAUAGUUAAUCUAAUCACAAGGAGUUAUGUUAUUUCGUUUGAUUACACAUAUCAACCCUCAAGAAGAAACUAUCUAGGUUACUUUUACGCCUAGUUGAGAGGAAAUGUAUAUAAUUAAAGAAUAUCACUUAGUAUAUGUGGUUGACUUAACUACAUAAUAAAUAAAUAUAAAAAUGUGUAAAAAAUAUAUUACUUCUACAACUUAAACGGAAAAUGUUCAAAAAUAUAAAAACGUGUAAAAAAUAUAUUACUUCUACAACUUAAACGGAAAAUGUUCAAAAAUAUAAAAACGUGUAAAAAAUAUAUUACUUCUACAACUUAAACGGAAAAUGUUCAAUAGGAAUAUUUUAUUAGAAGUAUUUGUGUUUAAUUAAUCACUUCAUAAUUUGAGCUACCUAAAUAAAAUAUUUUAAUAAAUAUAAGUGGCUAGUUAUUUAUUACAGCUUGUAAUUUCAAAAUGAUGUGUAUUUUGUUAUCUAUUAGUAUUAUAUACUGUAUAAUAUAUGAUGCAUAAAGAUACACACGUUUCGAUCUAGAUAUCCACACAUAUACAUGUGAAUUUGUAGUCUGGUUUCUUUCAAUAAGAUAGAGACAAGUAGACAACUAUUUUAAUCGAAUAAUAUUUUUUCCUCUUUUUAUUUAUUGUCAAAAUCUGCAAGAGAUUUAGUCCAAGAAAGGAAAAAAUUUAAUAAAAAGUGGUUUGAAAUUUAUUCUACUUUAGUAACUUCUUCAUAGAAAUAGCAUCACCAAUCACUUUCCCAUCAUAUUUUUGAAAAAUAAUUAUAUUUUACAAUAGUACUUAAGUGAGGUAAAGUUUAUUUUUAUUGAAAAAUUACUUAUGAGUUCAAAUUCAAAAAUUUCUAAUUAACUACAAUAAUAAUAAUUAUGCUUUAGUCCCUGAUAAGUUAAGAUUGAAUAUAUGAAUCUUCACUUUAAUUUAAGCUCAUUUCAUACUCAUUAUCAUAUUAAAUAAUUAAAAUAUUUAAUUAAGAGUGAUGAAAUUCUAAUAAUUUCAAGAAUUUCAUCACACAUUCAUGUAGUGUUUUAUCAUCAACUUUAAAAUAGACGGGUAUACCUUUACUUUCCAUAAUUAUUUUUAGGUGAGUAACUUUGAAGGGGAAAAUAAAAAGAUGAGUAAAAGUAUUCCUAUUCUUGCCCAAAGUUAAUAGUAAUCCAUCACAUUUCUCUCUUGCAAUUCACGUAAAUAAAUCCCCAAAGUCAUCACAUUAUCUUUCCAAAUAUAACUCAUGAAGACUUAUAAAAGACGAAGUCAAGAUUUUAAAUUUAUAGGUUUAUCUCAUAUGUAAUAAUUUUUUGUUUAUCGAGUUCUAAAUAAAUAUGAAGUUUGAGUCAAAAUUAUUGAAAUCUGCUGAACUCUAACUUCAAUUGUAGCUCUUCUACAACAGAUAAUUAAGUGACUCCGUAUAUUGCGAUAGGACAAUUUUUCUAAAUGUUUUCUGAAAUUGAGUGUUUUUGUUCCCUUUCUCUUCUAGUGAUGAUGAUAAAAUGGUGUUAUUAAUUUAGCUAACAAAAAAAAAAAAAAGAAAAUGAAAUUUGCACAACAAAACGAUUAAUAUAGGAAAUUUAUUGGCAAAAUAUAAGAUGAAGAGCAAGGUAAUAAAUAAAUUUUAUUUGAGGUUGGUGGUUCUUUGACCUUUGAUUAUUUCAAGCACAUCUUCUAGGUUAGGUAGGUAUUAGUAUUUCAGGAUUUUAUUAUAUUUUAGGUUCGGCAUUUCUCCAUUAGAUAUUCGAUCCUUUAGAAAGAAGAAAAGAAAAUCAAAAGGCAUUGCAACGUACAUACACUAGUUUAUAAAAAUUUGAAUACUUAACAUGAAAUCGAGUAGUAACUCAAUCAACGUCGUUAUCAUAAUAAAUCUAAAUCUUGAUAAGGAAAUAUCUUACUAAAGUUAUAUAUAUGCAUGAUGACAUAUAUAUACCCAUUAAUUUAACAGGGUAUCGCGAAGCCUCUACAAUUAUAAAAGGAUAAGUUUAUCUUUGAGACGCAAUUCAACUAUGUGAAAAGAAUGUAAAGUCCAAUAACACAAAUAAUAUGCGAUCACCAAAAGAAAGUGAAGGAGAAUGGCUCGUACGACAAGCCACUCCCCCACUUUACCGUUAAUAACGUUCAACUUUAGGCGUAUAGCCCCUUUGAGGUUUGAAGCUGAUGAAUACCACAAGAUCAUAGUUGUGAUCUUGAACACUUCACAGAGAAACUAACUACCUCAGAGAAGAGAAGAUGCAGUAGAAGAAACAGAAAGAAGAGAGAAGAGAAUGUAAAGUCUAGUUAGUGUAUUAUUCAUUGAUGUGUCUUCAAAAUGUACAAGUGAUGAAUAUAUAUAGUAGUAACUAACUCCUACCAGCUAGAUGAUCUAAGUACUAGUGGGCUAUAACUAACUUUAACUAGCUUAACUACUUUGAGACUUAAGCUAUUAAGUAGAUGUUUAAGUGCCUGGAUCAGAUUAUCUCUCAACACUCCUCCUCAAACUUGGUGUGGCGAAAAUAUUAAUCAUGCCAAGUUUGGAAAUUAAGUGCUCAUGUUGGACUCUAGUGAGUCCCUUUGUCAAAAUGUCUACUGGUUGUUGUUGCGUGGAGAUGUAUGUUGUCUUCAUCAAACCUUGUAGUAUUUUCCUCCUUACAAAGUGACAAUCAAUCUCUAUGUUUGGUUCUCUCAUGAUGAACUGGAUUGGCAGCCAUCUGUAACACAACUUUACUGUCACUGAAUACUGUAAUAGGUAGUUGUAUUUGAACAUUUAGCUCUUUAAUCAGUUCAUUUAGCCAGGUCAAUUCUUCCAUAGUACCUGUAAGGCUUCUAUAUUCUUCCUCAGCUGAGCUCCAUGAUAUAGUAGUUUGCUUCUUGGACCUCCAGGAUAUUAGUGAGUCACCAAGUUUAAUUGCAAAUCCUGUCACUGAUCUCCUUGGGAAGGGACAUGCAACCCAAUCUGCAUCACAAUAAGCAGUUAGAGUGUCAAUGUUAGAACUAGAUACUAAUACCUGAUCCAGGAUUCCUCUUGACAUAUCUGAUCACUCUUAGUGCAAUAUUCAUGUGGGAUUUCUUUGGAGCUUGUAGGAAUUGAUGUAGAGCCUGAACACUAUAAGAUAUGUAUUUACCAAUGAUUCUUUGAUAUCUUCCUUGGUCACUUAAUGGUUCAUCACUUGAGUCUGCUAUGUCUUGGAUUUUCUCAUCAAAUUCUCUUGUUGUUAGUUUGAUAGUUGAGUCUAUAUGUGCGUUAGCUGGUUUUGCAGCACUGAGACCUGUCUCAGAUAUAAGAUCCAACGUAUUUCCUCUGAUGCAUCAUGGUCCCUUCUUUAGAUCUUGCAAACUCAAUCCCUAGGAAAUACUUCAGCUCUCCUAGAUAUUUUAUUUUAAACAUCUUAUGUAAGGCAGCUUUAGUCUCAAUUAUCUGAUUUAGAUUAUUACCAGUAACCAGGAUAUCAUCAACAUAUACCAACACUAUGACCAUUUUUGAAUCAGUUCUUUUACUAAACAAAGAUUGAUCAUACUGACUUUGCUUAAAGUUACACUUAACCAAGGCUUCACAUAGCUUGGCAUUCCAUUGUCUAGGAGCUUGUUUCAAUCCAUUAAAGGAUUUAAGUAGUCUGCUCACUUGUCUGUCCCCCUGACUCUUGAAUUCUUGUGGGAGGUCCAUGUAUAUUUCAUUGAACACAUCCAUUUGAUGGAUAUGCCAAUGCUUAGAGGCUGCAACAGCUAUGACAGUUGUGAGAGUUACCAAUUUAAAAACAGGGCUAAAAGUUUCUUGAUUGUCAAUACCUUUCCUUUGGCUAUAACCUUUGCAACUAAUCUUGCCUUAAACCUCUCCACUUCACCUGUAGCCUUAUAUUUGAUUUUGUAUAUCCAUUUACAUCCAAUAGAUCAUUUAUGUGAGGGUAUAUCUACCACCUUCUAUGUCUGAUUGCCCUCUAAUGAUAUGAUUUUUUUUCAUAGCAUCUACCACCUAGGGUCCUUCACAACCUCUGCAUAAGAUGAGGGUUCAACCUUAUUAGAGAAUGCAAUCAGAUAACUUUACUAUCUAGGUGUUAAACCAUCAUAGGAAAUUUAGUUAAAUAGUGCAGAAGGAAUAUUAUCAUGAUCAUUCAAAGAAACAAAAUCUUUCAUCCAACUUGGUGGAUGUGAGGUUCUCGCAGAUUUUCUAGUUGGAAUAAAGGUAGACGGGGUUGCAUUGUGUAGAUGAGGAGCAUAAUAAGGCUAUAGAGUAGGUUCAUCUAAUUCAGGUGUAGGCUGUUGAACCAUGUGGUGCUUCUCCCAUCCUUGUACUUGAGUGAACUCCAUGUUAGGAGUCUGAGAUGCAAUCACAAGAGGCUUCACGUCUGGCUGUCUAUAAUGAGGAUCAGGUGAGGUAACAAUCUUUAUGAGUUUGUCUGCAUAUCUACAUAGUUGAAGGGGAAUAUGUCUUCUUUGAAUGUAACAUCCCUAUUGACAAAGAAAAUCUUAUUAGCAAUAUCAUAUAGGAGAUAUCCUUUUUUAAGUUUCUGAAUAUCCCAUAUGAAUAACCAUUCUGGUUCUAAGCAUUAGUUUAUCACUUUAUUAAACUAAUUUUCCAUAGCAAAGACAACCAAGUACUUUUAAAUAUGUUAGAGAAGGUUUCUUAGCAUGCAGUUUUUCAUAAGGGGAUAUGCCAUUUAGUACAGAUAAUGGGAUCCUAUUUAUGAGAUAAACUGUAGCUUUUGCACAUGGACCUCAGUACUUAAGAGGUAUAUUAUCUUGGAAUAUAAUAGCUAUUGUUAGUUCUAUAAUAUGCCUAUGUUUUCUUUCAACAAUGCCAUUUUGUUAGGGUGUUUGAGCACAAAAAGUCUGGUGAAGUCUACCAUUUUUAAGGAACAAUUCAUAAUAAAAUUGGUUCACAAAUUCUGUACCAUUAUCACUUCUUAUAACUUUAAUACAUGUCUCAUACUGAGUUUUCACAUAAGUAAUGAAGUGCUGAAGUAAAGUGGAAACAUUUGUUUUGAAUUUGAGUAGAAAGAUCCAAGUCAUUCUGGAGAAAUCAUCUACUACAGUUAGGAAAAAUCUAAAAUCAUCAUGUGUAACUACUUUAUAGGGUCCCCACAGAUCAAUGUGAACAAGAUCAAAGACUUUAUUACUCAUAGAUGUACUGGUAGAAAGAAGAGUUCUCGCUCAUCUUCCAGAUGGACAAACAUUGCAUUUAUCCGGAACAUCAACAAUAUGCGAUCUAUUUCCUGGAAAUAAAAGAGUAAGAGUCUUAAAAGGAACAUAUCCUAGUCUUCUACGCCAGAGAUUAAUGUCAUCUCUGUGUCUAUAGGUCUUUACAGUGAAACUAAAACCAAACUCAAAUCCAUUUCUUCAUGGUAGACUUUGUCUUAUUAAGAAGUAUAAUUCAUUUCUUUCUCUACCAAUCUCCUUCACUUUUCCAUUGUAAAGAUCCUGAAAAAGAUAAAAGUUAGGAAAGAAGAUAACAAAACAUUGUAGUUGUCUAGUUGCCUUUGAAACUGACAUUAGAUUACAUUUGAAUUGAGGUACAUGUAACACAUUAUGUAAGGUACUUUGGGCUGAUAUAUCAGUUGUACCAGUGUGUUGUACCUCUGAAAUCUCACCAUUUGGUAAGAAUAUUUUUCUAGAUACUUUAGUUUUAAUUAUUGAAUGUUUGUUCAACAACUCAAUGUUUGAGGUCAUGUGAUUAGUAGCACCUGUGUCAAUGAUCCAUUCUUCUGAGUCAUUGAUAACAUCCAGGGAUCUAGAGUUACCUAUCAUGUUGUCACUAGCUGUGUUAGAAGUUUUGAAGUCAUCUUGCUUCAACAUUUGACAAAUGCGAUUAUAUUGCUCUUGAGUAAAUGUAGGUGGAAGCAUCAUGUUGUUACUGGAACUAGCAGAAGGUACAACUUGAGUUGUACCUUGAGAAUAUCCUAGCCUGUAACUAGGAUCCACUGUGUAAGCAGAAGACACCUGAGUGACCUGAGUGUUGUGACUUUGCUAAUUCAUAUUAGAGGUAGACCAGUCUUGAACAACAACAUGUGCACUUGGACCAAAUCUUCUUGGUUGCUUGUAUCUAGGUUCAUAACCUUUACCUGUGUCAAUGCCUUUAUGAUCACUAUGUUUAGGAUGACCCGAAGGGUAUCCAUUUAGUCUGAAAUAAUCUUUCUUGAGAUGUCCUUUAAUUUUACAAUGAUCACAAAUGACACUUGGAUUAUAUGAUGAAAUUUAGGGCCUUUUUUCUUUCUGAACACCUGUCUUUGAAUAUAAUGUAGACUCAGAAACUCCAGGUGCAACCCCUACUAAGCUAGCCUGAUGUGCACUAUGUAACACAAAUCUUUGGCUUUCAUCACUAACCACCAUAGAAUAAGCUUGAUUCACAGUAGGCAAAGUGUUCAUUAACAAAAUUUGACUUCUAGCUUGUGCAAAAGAAUCAUUUAACCCCAUUAAAAACUGGUACAGUUUUUGCCUUUGUAAAUAAAUCAAGAAAUACUUAGAUCGAGGACAGUUAUAUGCAGGAGAAGGCACAAUUGAAUUAAGCUCAUCCCAUAAAGCUUUGAGUUUAGAGAAAUAAGCAGUCAUUGACUGAAUUCCUUGAUUAAUCUGGGAGAUUUCUUGAUAUAAAUUGUAGGUUUUUGAACAAUCAAAUUUGUCAUAUCUUUCCCUUAAAUCUUCCUAAACAGCGUGAGAAUUAGAUGCAUAUACAACACCCCCAAUCAAAUCAACAAAUAUAGAAUUCAUUAGCUAAGAUAAAACCAUUGCAUUUACUCUUUCUUACUGCCCUCAUAAUUCUACUGGAUAUAAUUCCUUUUAGCAAGACCAUCAACCAGUCCUAGUUUAUUACGACCCAAGAGGGCAAUUUUCAUGGACUUAAUUUUCAUGGACUUACUCCAUAGAAUAUAAUUUUCAAUACCUUUUAGCUGGAAAAAAAUCACAGUGAUACCACUUACAUCACUAGAAGAUAGGAACAAAGGGUGAUUCUGAUCAAUUGUUGUAUUGAUUCCUUGUCCAGCAGGUAUAGUAUUAGUUCCAAUAUCAGAAGGAAUUCCUCUAAGUCCAAUUGUAGCCAUGAAGUAUGAAUAGAUGCAGAAACAGAGAAAUGAUCUUCGGAGAAAAUUGUAGAGUUGCCGAGAAAAUUGCAGUGAUUCUUGAUUCAAAUAAAACUAGAAACAGGAACAACAAUCGUGAAAACUUCUUGGAUCGUUAAAACAUUGAAUUAAAUUCAGUAAUGGCUCUGAUACCACGAUAAAUACCACAAGGUCAUAGUUGUGAUCUUGAACACUUCACAGAGAAUCUAACUACCUCAGAGAAGAAAAGAAGCAGUUGAAGAAAUAGAAAGAAAAGAGAAGAAAAUGUUGAGUCUAGUUAGCGUAUUAUUCAUUGAUGUGUCUUCAAAAUGUACAGG
rnacentral:lncRNA from 1 species